UGGGGAAUAUUGCACAAUGGAGGGAACUCUGAUGCAGCGACGCCGCGUGAACGAAGAAGGCUUUCGAGUCGUAAAGUUCUUUUAUAUGGGAAGAUAAUGACGGUACCAUAAGAAAAAGCCCCGGCUAACUACGUGCCAGCAGCCGCGGUAAUACGUAGGGGGCUAGCGUUGUCCGGAAUCACUGGGCGUAAAGGGUUCGCAGGCGGAAAUGCAAGUCAGUUGUAAAAGGCAGUAGCUUAACUACUGUAAGCAUUUGAAACUGCAUAUCUUGAGAAGAGUAGAGGUAAGUGGAAUUUUUAGUGUAGCGGUGAAAUGCGUAGAUAUUAAAAAGAAUACCGGUGGCGAAGGCGACUUACUGGGCUCAUUCUGACGCUGAGGAACGAAAGCGUGGGUAGCAAACAGG
rnacentral:rRNA from 2 species